GAUGAACGCUGGCGGCGUGCCUAAUACAUGCAAGUCGAGCGAACGGACGAGAAGCUUGCUUCCCUGCUGUUAGCGGCGGACGGGUGAGUAACACGUGGAUAACCUACUUAUAAGACUGGGAUAACUUUGGGAAACCGGAGCUACUACCGGAUAAUAUUUUGAACCGCAUGGUUCAAAAGUGAAAGACGGUCUUGCUGUCACUUAUAGAUGGAUCCGCGCUGCAUUAGCUAGUUGGUAAGGUAACGGCUUACCAAGGCAACGAUGCAUAGCCGACCUGAGAGGAUGAUCAGCCACACUGGAACUGAGACACGGUCCAGACUCCUACGGGAGGCAGCAGUAGGGAAUCUUGCGCAAUGGGCGAAAGCCUGACGGAGCAACGCCGCGUGAGUGAUGAAGGUCUUCGGAUCGUAAAGCUCUGUUAUUAGGGAAGAACAUAUGUGGAAGUAACUGUGCACAUCUUGACGGUACCUAAUCAGAAAGCCACGGCUAACUACGUG
rnacentral:rRNA from 1 species